rnacentral:rRNA from 1 species
CCUACGGGUGGCAGCAGUGAGGAAUAUUGGUCAAUGGACGAGAGCCUGAACCAGCCAAGUAGCGUGAAGGAUGACUGCCCUAUGGAUUGUAAACUUCUUUUAUAUGGGAAUAAAAUGUUCCACGUGUGGCGUUUCGUAUGUACCAUAUGAAUAAGGAUCGGCUAACUCCGUGCCAGCAGCCGCGGUAAUACGGAGGAUCCGAGCGUUAUCCGGAUUUAUUGGGUUUAAAGGGAGCGUAGGUGGAUUGUUAAGUCAGUGGUGAAAGUUUGCGGCUCAACCGUAAAAUUGCCGUUGAAACUGGCAGUCUUGAGUACAGUAGAGGUGUGCGGAAUUCGUGGUGUAGCGGUGAAAUGCAUAGAUAUCACGAAGAACUCCGAUUGCGAAGGCAGCUCACUGGACUGCAACUGACACUGAGGCUCGAAAGUGUGGGUAUCAAACAGGAUUAGAUACCCUAGUAGUC